UUGGAAGAAGUACAUAGACUUUGAGUAUGCCUAAGACAUGUUUAAAAUACAGAGUUCAAAUUAAACAGCACAAAAUCCUCUUAAUUUUUUCAAUUCUGGGUCUGAAGAAGCCCAGAUUUUAUUCUUAUUUACUACAACAGAUUUCCUUCAAAUAAAAUGCAUUGGCAGGGUGACAGGUGAGUGACCCAAUGUCUGGUUGGGAAAUAUAUCUCUGAAUGUGUUACUUUUAACUUAAAAUGUGGGUGUAAAUUGAAUUACAGCUGGUUUGGCAUUGAUAUACAACAAUUAUAGCUGUUCUUUAUAUGGCAGCUUUUAGUAGAUGUCUUAUGAUUUCUUUACUAUCUAAGGUGGAAAUCCAAACACAUUUCAUUUUUGUAGUAAAAAGUCUUUAUUUCCAAAAUGAUUGGUUAGCCAGAAAAACUAUAAACCACCUAACACAAGACUUUGGUAAGAAAGAGAUUUGAUGCUUCUUAUAAAUUCCCCAUUGCAAACAAAAAAUAACACAUGUGACAAGAAUCACAUUACCCAUUCUAGGCCAUUAACCAGUUACCUGGUUUUAAGUCUCCAAAAUCAGGAGUAAUAAUGUACCCAACAGGGACCAAAUACCAUGAGACACUAGGGUGGCUUGUCCUUAGAGUUACUUAGAAAUCACCAUCUUGAGGAACUUGGAUUUUCAUGGGUUAAGAAUAAGUAUGCAUCUAGAUAACUUAGAACAAUGUUGUAAAAAUGGACAGAUUCUGUAUCAGGGCUUUUUUAUUGUUUGAGUAGGAAAUUAAACCUCAUUUCUUUAUAUUAUAUUAUGCUCCUUUGGGGGGGGGGUGAAAUCAGUUCAUUUAAAGAUUUAAAAAAUUGUUGGAAACAAUUCAAAGCUGCAGGUAGCUCAGGCAUAUGGUCACAAUAAUGGCUGCUCCAGAGUAAGGGAGCCAAAGCCAUAUCUUUGAAAGAAAAUGUGGUGGAUAACAAUUGUAAAAAUACCCAACCUUCUGUACACUUAAUUAGCUUAAAAACAGUAAGGACAGAUCCAAUAUGUUUUUUAUUGAACAGUCUCUCUUGUUUUAAAGAAAAUACAUAUUUAAGGUUAUGUCAUAUAUAUAUGUGUGUUUUGUUU